rnacentral:rRNA from 1 species
GAUGAACGCUGGCGGCGUGCCUAAUACAUGCAAGUCGAGCGAACGGACGAGAAGCUUGCUUCUCUGAUGUUAGCGGCGGACGGGUGAGUAACACGUGGAUAACCUACCUAUAAGACUGGGAUAACUUCGGGAAACCGGAGCUAAUACCGGAUAAUAUUUUGAACCGCAUGGUUCAAAAGUGAAAGACGGUCUUGCUGUCACUUAUAGAUGGAUCCGCACUGCAUUAGCUAGUUGGUAAGGUAACGGCUUACCAAGGCAACGAUGCAUAGCCGACCUGAGAGGGGGAUCGGCCACACUGGAACUGAGACACGGUCCAGACUCCUACGGGAGGCAGCAGUAGGGAAUCUUCCGCAAUGGGCGAAAGCCUGACGGAGCAACGCCGCGUGAGUGAUGAAGGUCUUCGGAUCGUAAAACUCUGUUAUUAGGGAAGAACAUAUGUGUAAGUAACUGUGCACAUCUUGACGGUACCUAAUCAGAAAGCCACGGCUAACUACGUG